UACAGAGGUCCCGAGCGUUGUUCGGAUUCAUUGGGCGUAAGGGGUGCGUAGGUGGCGCUGUAAGUGGGGUGUGAAAUCCCGGGGCUUAACCCCGGGACUGCAUUCCAUACUGCGGUGCUUGAGGACUGGAGAGGAGACUGGAAUUUACGGUGUAGCAGUGAAAUGCGUAGAGAUCGUAAGGAAGACCAGUGGCGAAGGCGGGUCUCUGGACAGUUCCUGACACUGAGGCACGAAGGCCAGGGGAGCAAACGGG
rnacentral:rRNA from 1 species